rnacentral:rRNA from 1 species
GACGAACGCUGGCGGCGUGCUUAACACAUGCAAGUCGAACGGGAAGGCCCUGCUUUUGUGGGUUGCUCGAGUGGCGAACGGGUGAGUAACCCGUGAGUAACCUGCCCUUGACUUUGGGAUAACUUCAGGAAACUGGGGCUAAUACCGGAUAGGAGCUCCUGCUGCUUGGUGGGGGUUGGAAAGUUUCGGCGGUUGGGGAUGGACUCGCGGCUUAUCAGCUUGUUGGUGGGGUAGUGGCUUACCAAGGCUUUGACGGGUAGCCGGCCUGAGAGGGUGACCGGCCACAUUGGGACUGAGAUACGGCCCAGACUCCUACGGGAGGCAGCAGUGGGGAAUAUUGCACAAUGGGCGGAAGCCUGAUGCAGCAACGCCGCGUGCGGGAUGACGGCCUUCGGGUUGUAAACCGCUUUCGCCUGUGACGAAGCGUGAGUGACGGUAAUGGGUAAAGAAGCACCGGCUAACUACGUG